AGGUCAGGGGUCGGCGGGUUCGGCGUUACCACCGCGACGCGAUAUUUUACGACGACGACGACGACGACCACAACAACAACAACAACAACAACAACGACAACGACAACAACGACAACAACAACGACAAAAACGACAGAAAUAACAUCGCGACGGACGGAGCGAAGUUUCGGUUCCCGCCGUUUCCCGCGGCGUUGUGCGCUCGCCCCGGCAGUAUUCC